GCAAGUCGAACGGCAGCAUAAGAGAGCUUGCUCUCUUGAUGGCGAGUGGCGGACGGGUGAGUAAUACGUAGGAAUCUAUCCAUGUAGCUGGGGAUAACUUGGGGAAACCCAAGCUAAUACCGAAUACGCUCUACGGAGGAAAGAGGGGGACCUUUCGGGGCCUCUCACUAUUGGGUGAGCCUACGCCGGAUUAGCUAGUUGGUGGGGUAAUGGCCUACCAAGGCGACGAUCCGUAGCUGGUCUGAGAGGACGAUC
rnacentral:rRNA from 1 species